rnacentral:rRNA from 1 species
UAGAGUUUGAUCCUGGCUCAGGACGAACGCUGGCGGCGUGCUUAACACAUGCAAGUCGAACGAUGAACCACUUCGGUGGGGAUUAGUGGCGAACGGGUGAGUAACACGUGGGCAAUCUGCCCUGCACUCUGGGACAAGCCCUGGAAACGGGGUCUAAUACCGGAUACUGAUCCUCGCAGGCAUCUGCGAGGUUCGAAAGCUCCGGCGGUGCAGGAUGAGCCCGCGGCCUAUCAGCUAGUUGGUGAGGUAACGGCUCACCAAGGCGACGACGGGUAGCCGGCCUGAGAGGGCGACCGGCCACACUGGGACUGAGACACGGCCCAGACUCCUACGGGAGGCAGCAGUGGGGAAUAUUGCACAAUGGGCGAAAGCCUGAUGCAGCGACGCCGCGUGAGGGAUGACGGCCUUCGGGUUGUAAACCUCUUUCAGCAGGGAAGAAGCGAAAGUGACGGUACCUGCAGAAGAAGCGCCGGCUAACUACGUGCCAGCAGCCGCGGUAAUACGUAGGGCGCAAGCGUUGUCCGGAAUUAUUGGGCGUAAAGAGCUCGUAGGCGGCUUGUCACGUCGGUUGUGAAAGCCCGGGGCUUAACCCCGGGUCUGCAGUCGAUACGGGCAGGCUAGAGUUCGGUAGGGGAGAUCGGAAUUCCUGGUGUAGCGGUGAAAUGCGCAGAUAUCAGGAGGAACACCGGUGGCGAAGGCGGAUCUCUGGGCCGAUACUGACGCUGAGGAGCGAAAGCGUGGGGAGCGAACAGGAUUAGAUACCCUGGUAGUCCACGCCGUAAACGGUGGGCCUGUGUGGGCAACAUUCCACGUUGUCCGUGCCGCAGCUAACGCAUUAAG